AGUAAUCGGAAACGUCUCGUUGCCAGGUGACAGUGGCGUCGUGACAGUGGCGCCUUAAGCCACGUUCAUACCGCACUCCUCGUUCGGAGUGCUCGCCGCAUGUAUAAAGUUGCUCCUCCAUCGAGGGGAGCCGUCAGUUCUAAACGACACCUCUGGAAAGUACGCCGGAAGAAUACGCCUCCCUGUCUCUCUCUCUCUCUCUCUCUCUUUCCCUCUUUCUCUCUCUCUCUUUCUCUCUCUCUCUCUUUCUCUCUCUCUCCCUUCCUUUCUUUAAAAAAAUUACACACAUACAGACAUGGACACAGAUACGUGACGUUACACAUUAAACAUUUUCCUUCCUAUUUCAUUAAAAGAUUUCAUUCCUUCGUUUAAAUCAGUUCGUUCCGUGUUUUUGAUCAUUAUUAAAAUAAAUUCGCGAGGAACAAUAUGUCGUUGUUCACUUUCGAAAUUAGUUAAGAAAAAAGUGAUUCAAUGAUCAGUCAAAUGCGUAAGAGUUGAUGGUGAACGUGCCAAUUUUCGGAGGGACAAUCCUCAACAUUACCAAUCCCACGUAUCUACUAUUCCAAUCGAUAUCAGCUCUUAGUAGAUGAGCUCUUAAAUGAAAAGUUUCGACGAACGAGAAGUGGAGACGAACACCGCAAAACCCGUCGUGUGACGUGCGAAUGCGUGAAAACCGCGCGACAAGAUGAUAUCCAUCUAGUACUUUGAUUUGCAUCGAAUCGUUUCUACGGUGUCACCGGUGUUGUUGCGGCUCGAUGCAACAGGUUAUUUCUUCGGAAUACAUAUGUCACGGUAUUACUGCAUUUCCACAAUCGUCUCUACACGAAAAAGUGUUAAUUAAGAUAAUUCGCAUAUAUGCGAAUACGAUUUUUGUUUAAUUCGAUUUAUGUAUAUAUUAAUCGUGUCACGUGACAUAUCGUAAAAUACUUUUUUGUGCCGUUCCAUAAAUUCGUAGGAGCAGCCGGUGUCGCUGUGAGCUCGUAAAAGAUUUAAAAAAAGAAAAACGAAAAACGAAAGAAAAAAAAAUAAAAAGGUAAAAAAGAAACAAAUUCUUCCGAAUACUCGACGAACACGAGAAUUGAAAUCGAAAGGAAUGUGAUGUGAUAAUUCACGGGUUAUUUCGAUAUUUUUAUCGAUGGAUAUCAUUCGAUAUAAUCUCCAA